rnacentral:rRNA from 1 species
AGAGUUUGAUCCUGGCUCAGGAUGAACGCUGGCGGCGUGCUUAACACAUGCAAGUCGAACGAACCUUCGGGUUAGUGGCGGACGGGUGAGUAACGCGUGGGAACCUGCCCUCAGGAGGGGGAUAACGGCUGGAAACGGCCGCUAAUACCCCAUAUGCCGAGAGGUGAAAUGAAUUUCGCCUGAGGAUGGGCCCGCGUCUGAUUAGCUAGUUGGUGGGGUAAAGGCCUACCAAGGCGACGAUCAGUAGCUGGUCUGAGAGGAUGAUCAGCCACACUGGGACUGAGACACGGCCCAGACUCCUACGGGAGGCAGCAGUGGGGAAUUUUCCGCAAUGGGCGAAAGCCUGACGGAGCAACGCCGCGUGAGGGAUGAAGGCCUCUGGGCUGUAAACCUCUUUUCUCAAGGAAGAAGACCUGACGGUACUUGAGGAAUAAGCCACGGCUAAUUCCGUGCCAGCAGCCGCGGUAAUACGGGAGUGGCAAGCGUUAUCCGAAAUUAUUGGGCGUAAAGCGUCCGCAGGUGGCCCUGUAAGUCUGUCGUUAAAGCGUGGAGCUUAACUCCAUUUAAGCGAUGGAAACUACAGGGCUAGAGUGUGGUAGGGGCAGAGGGAAUUCCCGGUGUAGCGGUGAAAUGCGUAGAUAUCGGGAAGAACACCAGUGGCGAAGGCGCUCUGCUGGGUCAUCACUGACACUCAUGGACGAAAGCCAGGGGAGCGAAAGGGAUUAGAUACCCCUGUAGUCCUGGCCGUAAACGAUGAACACUAGGUGUCGGGGGAAUCGACCCCCUCGGUGUCGUAGCCAACGCGUUAAGUGUUCCGCCUGGGGAGUACGCACGCAAGUGUGAAACUCAAAGGAAUUGACGGGGGCCCGCACAGGCGGUGGAGUAUGUGGUUUAAUUCGAUGCAACGCGAAGAACCUUACCAGGGUUUGACAUCCUGCGAAUCCCUUGGAAACGAGGGAGUGCCUUCGGGAGCGCAGAGACAGGUGGUGCAUGGCUGUCGUCAGCUCGUGUCGUGAGAUGUUGGGUUAAGUCCCGCAACGAGCGCAACCCACGUCGUUAGUUGCCAGCAUUCAGUUGGGCACUCUAGCGAGACCGCCGGUGAUAAACCGGAGGAAGGUGUGGAUGACGUCAAGUCAUCAUGCCCCUUACAUCCUGGGCUACACACGUACUACAAUGCUACGGACAAAGGGCAGCAAACUCGCGAGAGCUAGCAAAUCCCAUAAACCGUGGCUCAGUUCAGAUCGUAGGCUGCAACUCGCCUACGUGAAGGAGGAAUCGCUAGUAAUCGCAGGUCAGCAUACUGCGGUGAAUACGUUCCCGGGCCUUGUACACACCGCCCGUCACACCAUGGAAGUUGGCCACGCCCGAAGUCGUUACUCCAACCCUUGUGGAGGAGGACGCCGAAGGUGGGGCUGAUGACUGGGGUGAAGUCGUAACAAGGUA